GGUACAUUAUGCAGACUUGAUGGAAUCCAGAAAGGAACUCGAAAGAAUGUAUACCCUCCAUUAACCAAAAUAUCCCUUUAGGGCACGUCCUUGGCAGCCAUCUUUGAAAUGCCUCUUAGGCAGCUACUUCAGUUGUGCAAGAGCAGCUCUCUUUGAAUGGGGAAACAUAAAAUUCUCCAAAGCUGUUCACUAACCCAGCUAGACAUGUUAUUGUUAUAAGAAUGUUUUAAGAACAUUAUGCUAUGUUCUGGUAAUGUUUUCAGUGGCAAGUUUUAUUUUUGUUCCCAGAAUAUUCUCCUAAAAAGGUAGGAUAACAUUAUUUAAAAUAUUCAUCAAAAUAUUCAUCAUGAACAUUUUUUCAAUCAUUGAAAAAAUGUUUAGUGAUAACAUUGUUAGAACAUUAUCCCCUAACGUUCUUAUAAAGUUUUUAGAGGGAAGUUUCCCAUCGGGCGCUGGAUGUGGACUUCAACAUCACCCAUAGACGUCAAACUUUGAUUGAAAAUGAAAAUCAGGUUGAUGUCUAAACACAAAAUUGUUUUGAUGUCAAGCUCCAAUGUCAUUAAACAACUCCAAAAACAGCAUUAGUAUUGAAUUUACAUAAUUCUGGCUGAUUUUAAACUUAAUAAAAGUAGAAUUUGUGCUAGAGCUUUUGAAUUGAAUUACAUUAGAUCAUAAAGUUGUAACUAAUAAAGUGGCCACUAAGUGUAUGCAACCUCCAUACUGUUGUGGCAGGAUGAGUUACGUCAUCUUAUUGGUUGGUUGGAGUGUCGUUGGUAAACCAAUUGAGUGAUAAUAGCUGCCCUAUUUAAGGACCCUUAUUUUGACGGGUAGGUAUGUUUUCUGACUUGGGGUGCUUCUCUCUCUCUCUCCCUGGCAUUUCCGUUUCCGUUCCAUUUUCCAUUCAGGUAUGUAGAGUUUUUGUUGGUGGUGUAGUGAUGCGCAUAUUGCGAGGCUAAUAUGCGCUAUUUAUAGUUUAAUUUAGAGCGGAGCUGGUGGCAUUUGGCAUUGCGGCAAGUUGUGGCGGAGUUCACUUGCAGUAAUAGCAGCAAGGGCAGGUGCGUAUGUGUGUGAAGGCUGAUCGCUGGACUGAGCUGCGGCACCGGUAGUGAGUAACCAUACAGCGUUGCGUCCAGUAUUCAACAUCAAUUGGAAAGGGGAACAUUGAGUCCAGUUCUCGGCUAGUGAUUUCACGUGACGCAGCUGCUGUUUUGCUUACGGAUAUAUUUUGGUUUCGAUCGUGUCAUUGGACUGUAUACUGUUUUGCUGCCUUGCACGUCGCCGGGGCUGUUAAAGCGGGCUUCGGAUACGCGUCCGCAAGGCUGCCUAUCAGUUAAGCUUUUGGAUUUAAUUUUUCUUGUUUAAUUUGAUUGAUUUUGUUUGUUUCGUUUUCUGUUUA